rnacentral:rRNA from 1 species
GACGAACGCUGGCGGCGUGCUUAACACAUGCAAGUCGAACGGAAAGGCCCUGCUUUUGUGGGGUGCUCGAGUGGCGAACGGGUGAGUAACACGUGAGUAACCUGCCCUUGACUUUGGGAUAACUUCAGGAAACUGGGGCUAAUACCGGAUAGGAGCUCCUGCUGCACGGUGGGGGUUGGAAAGUUUCGGCGGUUGGGGAUGGACUCGCGGCUUAUCAGCUUGUUGGUGUGGUAGUGGCUUACCAAGGCUUUGACGGGUAGCCGGCCUGGGAGGGUGACCGGCCACAUUGGGACUGAGAUACGGCCCAGACUCCUACGGGAGGCAGCAGUGGGGAAUAUUGCACAAUGGGCGGAAGCCUGAUGCAGCAACGCCGCGUGCGGGAUGACGGCCUUCGGGUUGUAAACCGCUUUCGCCUGUGACGAAGCGUGAGUGACGGUAAUGGGUAAAGAAGCACCGGCUAACUACGUG